UAGCGGAACUCCUACGGGAGGCAGCAGUGGGGAAUAUUGGACAAUGGGCGGAAGCCUGAUCCAGCAACGCCGCGUGAGGGAUGACGGCCUUCGGGUUGUAAACCUCUUUCAUCAUCGACGAAGCUCAAUGUUUAGUUGGGUGACGGUAGGUGGAGAAGAAGCACCGGCCAACUACGUGCCAGCAGCCGCGGUAAUACGUAGGGUGCGAGCGUUGUCCGGAAUUAUUGGGCGUAAAGGGCUCGUAGGCGGUUUGUCGCGUCGGGAGUGAAAACACUGGGCUUAACCGAGUGCUUGCUUUCGAUACGGGCAGACUUGAGGCAUUGAGGGGAGAACGGAAUUCCUGGUGUAGCGGUGAAAUGCGCAGAUAUCAGGAGGAACACCGGUGGCGAAGGCGGUUCUCUGGCAAUGUUCUGACGCUGAGGAGCGAAAGUGUGGGGAGCGAACAGGAUUAGAAACCCUUGUAGUCCACUUAUG
rnacentral:rRNA from 1 species